UGCCCUUAUGUGUUGCCUGUUCAAAGUUUCCGUCUUGAAUGGGGUGUCAAAUAGGGCAUACAUCAACUGUUGUGGAGAUCUUCAGGAGGAGUCACCAACUGACUGUUCCAACAAGAUCAUCUACAAGGACAUUU